rnacentral:rRNA from 1 species
UACGGAGGGUGCGAGCGUUGUCCGGAAUCACUGGGCGUAAAGGGCGCGUAGGCGGCUCGUGAAGUCAGUGGUGAAAUCUCCGUGCUUAACACGGAAACUGCCAUUGAUACUAUGUUUCUUGAAUAUUCUGGAGGUUAGCGGAAUAUGUCAUGUAGCGGUGAAAUGCUUAGAUAUGACAUAGAACACCGAUUGCGAAGGCAGCUAACUACGGGAUGAUUGACACUGAUGCACGAAAGCGUGGGGAUCAAACAGG